GAUGAACGCUGGCGGCGUGCCUAAUACAUGCAAGUCGAGCGAACGGACGAGAAGCUUGCUUCUCUGAUGUUAGCGGCGGACGGGUGAGUAACACGUGGAUAACCUACCUAUAAGACUGGGAUAACUUCGGGAAACCGGAGCUAAUACCGGAUAAUAUUUUGAACCGCAUGGUUCAAAAGUGAAAGACGGUCUUGCUGUCACUUAUAGAUGGAUCCGCGCUGCAUUAGCUAGUUGGUAAGGUAACGGCUUACCAAGGCAACGAUGCAUAGCCGACCUGAGAGGGUGAUCGGCCACACUGGAACUGAGACACGGUCCAGACUCCUACGGGAGGCAGCAGUAGGGAAUCUUCCGCAAAGGGCGAAAGCCUGACGGAGCAACGCCGCGUGAGUGAUAAAGGUCUUCGGAUCGUAAAACUCUGUUAUUAGGGAAGAACAUAUGUGUAAGUAACUGUGCACAUCUUGACGGUACCUAAUCAGAAAGCCACGGCUAACUACGUG
rnacentral:rRNA from 1 species